rnacentral:lncRNA from 1 species
AGGAUGCCUGUCUAGAGGGUAGCUUUGCUGAAAAUAACCUGGAGACUGAACAGAAGUCAGCAGUGUGUCCUUGUGCAUUAGAAGAUAACUCUGUGCUGAGCCAAGGGCAUGCUGGACAUUAAUGAUUCUUCCUCAUUGUUCAGUUAUUGUGAGAGCAUUAUCUGGAGAACUCUGUGAAGUGUUAGUUCCCCAGUACAAGAAAGUCAUUGACAUGCUGGAGCAAGCUGGUGCAAGGAAGAUGGUCAAACAGAGGAAAACUCACCCAGGAAGGAGGCUCUGCCCUUCAAGAUAUUCAGUACACAAUUGGGCAAAGAUCUGAAGUAACUAUGAAGAAAAAUCCUGUGCAGACAGGUGAGACUAAAAUUUUGACUGUCGCAUAAAUAAGAAUACUAGCAAUCAGAUAACUAAACUAGAUAACUUAAAAAAUAACAAAAUACGCUUGUGAGUAUGGACUGUGCAAAUAUUUUUAAAUGAACAAGAAACUUGAGAAAUUUAAUCAUUGUUUUAACUUUAUACUUGGGGUCAUUUCCAUUUUUUUUUUCUUCUAAAGUGAGACUGUCGUCAUUUAAGAAACAUGAAGGCUGCAAGUGUUUGCAAAUCUUAAUUUUCACAGUAUCAUUCAAGGAAAUGAAAAUGCCUCAAAUUCACGAUGUGCUUUAAAAGACUUCAUAUGCAUUAAAAGACUUGUAAGGAAGAAUCUUAUUCUGAGAACCCAUUGAAUAUAUCAGUUUUAUUCUCUUUUGUUUCUGGAAAACAUGGGAUAAAUCUAAUGGAGAAUGUAGGAAUCUACUAGCACUUAACAUAGUGAUUCUCCUCAAUUUUUGAAUAUCUUUCUAAGUAUGAACCUAAAAUCCAAAGCCUGGGGUUUGUUCCAUACUGCAGAUGUGAACAGGCAACAGGAAUUGAUGCAAAAUCUCAGUAGGAAGAAGUUUCAGAGGCUGUUUGCACUGCAGCCUUUUCCUCUUAUAAACAAGGUGCUCAGGACACAGGAAGAGACACCUCCAUCUGAUCCAUUUUGGGAAAUUCUGUUAGGCACAAGCAUUUUCAUGUGCCCCUUGCAAGGCCUCUUUUCUCAGAUGACAAGUGAUAGGACAUGAUGCAAUGGCUUGAAGUAGCUCCAGGAGAGGUUUUAAUUGGAUAUCACAAAGAAUUUCUUCACAGAAAUGGUGGUUAGGCAUUGGGAUGGGUUGCUCUGUAUGAUAGAGUCCUGGUGAUAUUUAAGAGACGUAUGGAUGUGGACUUAGGGAUAUAGGUUAGUAGUGGACUCGCAGUGUUAGGUUGAUGGUUGGACUUGAUCAAAAAGAUCCUUUCCAUCUUAAAUGACUCUGUGAUUCUCUUCUAUGAUUUUAUACUUUUUGUGUUGAGGUGAGAAUUUUUAGAUUUAAUUGUAUAUUUCGUUAAAUAAAUAGCAUCUUAAUAACUUUUAAAACUAAUAUAACAGUGGUAUAAACUAUGCUUUCCAUUCCAAGAUUGACUACAGACAGUAGACAGUUUAGGGAAUUAAUUCACACCAUGUGGCUUAGGCAAGCCAAAAGGGUAGACAUUCAUACUGUAAGGUAUUUGUCUGUUAUCACACAAUAUUCUAAGAAAACUGAGCACUGUAAAAAACAAUAUAUGACAUAUUAUGUAAAUUAGGACCUUACUGGCUGUUUAAUCUCAAGAUGUACUCAUUAACUGGGAAUAAUCAAGUAGACGCAUAUUGAGAGAGCCUUUUUGCUAGCUCAGACUUCAUUUACAUCAAAUAUUUAUUAUCAAAUGCAGUGAAAACACCCAAUUCCUAAAUAUCUUCACAGGUCAAGUCUUGAAUGAGAUGUAGGUAAUCAAGAGAACUAAUUUACAUGUACUUUAAUAAUGACAAAGCAAACAUAGAUCUUAAAAUAAAAGUGCAGGCAAUGCAUUUAGAUUAAGUGAAUGCUUCCUAGGAUGCCGUGACUUCUGAAAAUUGAGAGCUGUCACUGUGAAUAUGUAACUGAUCAUAGCCACAGUCUGAUUAAUGCAUAUCAAAAAUGAACAUAAUGGCAAUCAAGGGAAAUGAGUGGAAGGUUUUUACAGAGGCUUAUACCUCAGUGUUUGAAGUGUUUGCUACUCUGGGGAUACUCUGGAAUAAGUUCAGAGAAGAGUCAGAAAUAUAAUUAAAAGUUUAAAAAAUAUGCGUGAGAGUGACAGGAUCAGACAAGUAAAGGGACUUAGUUUGUCUGGGGGAAAAAAAAAAAGGUAAUCUGUCUGAAGUCUGAAACACUGACAUAGAGCACAGGAAAAUGAUAACAAUUCUAUGGAGGUUUUUGAUUAUUUGUUUAUCUGUAUUUUUUGGUCUAGUAGAAAAAAUUAUAUUUUAAGACCUGGAUAUUGACAGAACAGAGGCUUCACGUACAAAACUGCUAAGUGUAAGAGUAAGAGAAAUUAACUACUGAUACAAUCUUCUAGACUGUAAUCUAUCUAGCAAUAAUAAUUUUCUACAACAGUAAAAUAUGCUUAGUUGAGGGCAUGUGUUUUUUUUUAUGAUAUAGUUUGUUGAGAUGAGAUUUUGAUGCAUCUAUAAUGCUAACAUUACGCAGCUGCAUGCUAUUAUUUGUUUCAGGAGGGCUUAUGCUUAAGACCAUUGGAUGCUGCACUGGAUUUCAAGGUAUCUGUGGAAAAUGAAAAUAUUUGUUAUGAUGGACAAGUUUUAUUUACUAACUGUAUGGUUAGGCUGAAUUUGGUGGAGUACCUGAAUCAGUGUUCUAAAGAUUCAUCAACUUACAUUGCAUGAAAAGUAUGUUCACAAAAAUUCAUGUUACAAUUGAUAGAAGCUUGAAGGUUAUACUGAAUGCAAGACUGGUCUUGUAGCAAAUGCAUUUAAUUCUUUCAUGAAAGAGGCAAUAAAUUACAAGAAUCUGAAAAGGAGACUUGUAAUUUUCCCUUUGUGAAAGUUAGGAGUGUUUCAAAUUGAAAACAUAAAAAUUCAAACGCUGUUAGCUUUGACCAUUAGAGCAUGCUAUCAAUCCCUGACCACUGGCAUGGAAAGGAAAAGAAAUGGGUAAGUACCAGAUGGUUAACAGGGUUUUGGAAAAAUACAGAAUAAUUGAACUGUCAUUAAUCUUGAAGUCCACAAAUGUUUUUGCUUGUUAAUUUGUUUGUUUUCUGUGCUUGCUGUUGCUAUUUCCUUUACCUCUUUCACCCCUGGACCUAAGUAUGUAAUUACUGAAAUGAACAGUAGAUCGGGAAAAAUCUAAAUAAAAAGUAUGAAUCAGAAGAGAUAUACAUUGACCCAAAUCUUGUUCUGGGAAACCUAGACAUACAACUGGACAGAAGGCAAAGAAAUGCUCAGAGCAGCCCAGAAAACAAACAAGCAAACAAAAAACACCAAAUAAAAGAACAAAAUGUGCCAGCUAGGGAAGAGGCAAGGUUAGACUACUCUAACACAUUGAUUCACAGCAUUGCUCUGGCAUCAUUUUUCAGGAGACUCACAAAGUUUUUAAAGCUGCAUUCCACUGUUAAAUAGCCAGGGAAUUGAUGGUACCAAUUCUGGACUUCGAUCAACUUCAGGCAGUAGUGGAUUUUUAGGUUUUCUUCCUCCCGGUUGGUGCAGACUGUAAAGCUUAUUCCCAGAAGGCAAAUAGGAGCUGUCACCUGCCAUACAAACAUCAGUGUAAAGAGCCCUGGACAUGCAGAGUUCAACACAAAACAGAUACUGUCAAGAUCAUCUUUGUAUAGACAGGCAGGAAGGAAAAGCAAACACAUUCUGCUUAUACUAAUUUACAAGUUAUGUUUCUAUAAGCUUUCUCCAAAUAUUAUGUAGAUGGAAAAGUAGACCUCAUGCUGCUGUAAAUCAGUAGUUGUGCUGUGGUGGCAGGAGAAAACAGUUAAGGGAUUCAGUUUUCUUCCAAGAAAAAUCAUACUUUUCAAAUUCAUAUGAAUCAGAGCCAAAGGAAUAUUCCUUAUCUGGCUGCAAUAAGACUUCUUUCAAGCAGGGAUAUGUGACCGACGCACUGUGCUCAGAUGAGGUCUACACUGCCAGGAGGUGGAGGGGAAAUGAAUUACUGGAAUGCAGGUGCCUAAAUCACUUGGAUUAAGAGACUCUAAGGGAUGUAGGCACCCACUGUCUAUUUCAUUUUAAUGUGAUCUUGGUUUCUGCAGCCUUGCAACCUAGGAGUUCUCUGAAAUUUCUCUUCAUAAAUAGCAGUUCAUAUUUUUAUUAAGGAAACCACCAAUGAACUUCACACCUGGGAAUUCUACCACACAUAUCCUGAGUUGGAAACUACUGAGGAGAAAUUAGGGUGUUUAAUUCAAGAUGCACUGAAAAAGUUGCUGCUACACAACAUCACUGUUGUAACCUCAAUAGUUAUUGUAUUUGCAAUAUUUGUAUUAAAAAAAAAAAAAAGUUUCAGAAAAAAAAGACUUUUUUGUCUGCACCAAACAAAACAUUUGCCUGAAAUGAAUGAUGCCACAAAUCAAUGAACUAAGCUGUUCUUAGAACUUCGUUUACUUCUUUCUCACUAACUCCCAGAGUUAAGUGGUAACUAGAACAACUCCUUCAUCUCUGCUGCUUUCUCCCCGUGAAGUCUUCACAAUUUUCACUGUUUCAAGGAGUCUAGCUUUUGAACAUGAUGGAUUCUACCUCAAAUAAGCAGCAUUAAAAGCUACAUAUAGAAUUUAAGCAGUAUCUUCACCAGAUCUCAGGCUGUGAAGAAUGAAAAUCAAAAACUGAGUGAUUUGCACUGAGCCUGAGUUAAGAAACACAAUUAUGUGCUGAAGAACCUUAAUCCUUCCUAAAUACAAUGAGUUUUAGCGUGGAUGAUUUGUGACCAUUUCUCAGAUGAUUAUAAAUAAGUUCAGCUGAAUUCUGAUGACAGUUCCCAAGCCAUGAAGGUGCCUACAAUGAAUUUCUGAUAGUUCAGUUAAACCUUGCUCUGAUUUUUUGCCUGAUAUCCUGUUUGAAAUUAUACUAUCCAGGCUUAUUAUUUGCACAUUGUAGCCCCUCACCAUAAAAGAGAUUUGUUGUUUGUUUUAAUGCAGAACAAGUUGAUUCUUCUGUUGCCUACAGAAAACUAUUUGUGGGCACUUGAGUCCACGUGUCUAAUGGGAUCCUAGCUAGGAAGUACUAAGUAUCUUGCUAUUAUGUUCUACAGAUUCUCCUCUUCAAGAUCACCUACUUUGCACAGCCUUAUUCUGUAAAAAGAAAAAGAGAGCAAGAGACAGAGAGGAAUGUGCCCAGGACUCUGUGGUACCCAGGUCAGACAAGCCCAAAAAUCUCUUCCCGGGCUCUGCUCCAAUGAAUAUUUAAUCAUUCUAUGCAGAGUGUGAAAGAUGGCACGAGAAAGAUUUAGGCUUCCAGCCUAGAAAAAUCUGGCACCUUCUUAUAAUGUGGUAAAUACUGGGCAAUGAAAGGCUUUGAAGCCAGGUCUCCUCUCUCCCAGAGGUGUGUUUCAAUUGCAAGGCUCCUGAAGAAAAGCAGAGUUCCUCUUCUUUGCCUUCGUCAUCCUGUAGAGAGAAAAUAAAGAGGCUAAGUUUGCCUCACUGGAGCCAGAGAACAAGCUAAGUGUUCUUCUGUCUAUCCUGUGAAUCCUGAUGGGAUUUUAGCUAGAACUGAAAAUCCCCAGAGUUCAGGCUCUCGGGAUAUGUGCUGAGCAAAAUAUUACGGUGCUUAUGGUGCUUAAGUCACAGCUUACAGUGACUAAAGACUUAACCUGUGGAAACUUUGGAGUACUUUGAUAUGAUAUUUGCUAACUGUAUCAACUCUGUUGUUUGGAGGAAAUACCUUUUUGUACACUCCCAGUGGAACACUAACAAACUUUGAUCCUUCUGCAACUUUCUGUUUAUGGCAUAUUCAGGUAAUUCAAUUUCUGCUCAUUUUCUGUUCAUUCAUUCAUUCAAAAAAAAAAAGUCUGUUAAAAUUCUUCUUGGUGACUAAUUACUAGAUCAAAGAAGGCCUGUUUACAAAAUGGAAAGCUUCCCAAAAAACAUUUUUGUUAGGGUUAAUGCAUGUAUGCAUUUUGAACAAAUAAUUUUAAAUUUUGGACAGCAUACUCAGAUUUUUGUUGUCCCAUUUUGUAAUAGAAUUUGAUUAAUUGUCUAAGAUAGUAUUUUUCUAAAUUAAGUAGAUUUUUUGUAGAAUCAUAUUGUUAAAACUGGGGAAAAGACUAAAAUUUGCAUCUUUUUUUUUUUUUUUUUUUUACCUAAACACAACAGGUGACUGUGAGAAUGCAAAGGGAGUUAAUAGGCAUGCAUAUUCAUGUUUUAGCUUUUUGAAAAAUAAGGUAUUGUUGUUAUACUCUGAAGUUUGGUGGCUUUUGAAAUUAAAUGUAAUGUAACAGCAAAUAUCUUUCUUCCCAUCAUUCUUAAAUACAAAGAUUAGAUUUUCCUUUUUGCUCCCAAUGGGAAAAAUAUGCAAUUAUGGUAUGCCUAGAAACUGCUUGGAUAGGUUAGAUACAAAUAUAAUGAAUGGAAGACAUGAAAAAAAGACAAGAAGAAACCUCCUUGGCAUCAGCAUGUGGAAGUUUAUCUAAAAAAAAAAAAAGUCACUGAUUAUACUAGUCUUCUUCAGAUCUUUAAUAGAAAAUGCGUACGCUUUCUAUUAAAAAGUUCUGCUAAGUUACUGACAGACUUUUUCUCACAAUAAUUUUAAGCAGUUCCUUAUGGCCGAAGAGGGAAAAAACGAGGAGCUGGGAAACAGUGAAUUAUAUGUCAUACACCUUGUCUGUCUCUGCCAAGCAGUUCUAGAACUGGCUACAGUGGGUUUCCUAGGGACAACAAACAAACACACAACUAAAUUUCUCCUGUUAAAUGUUAAAAAAGUACUCUCAUACUCUAGAUCUUCCAUCUAUUUUAACUCCAGAUUCCCUUGAAGAUUCCAUGCAAGAUAAUUGUAGCCCCAACCAACCUCCUUGGGCAGGAAAGGUAUGAAGAUACAGCUAGAUAAACUCAAUCAAAUCCCUUCUUGACUGGAAGAACAAUUCAUGUCUUCUCAAAUCAUGGACAAUGUCUCUAAUUUCUCUUUCUGAGUGCCUUAAGUCUUCUUUAUUUGAGGACCAAACACUCAAUGUGAAUUAAUUAGUCUAUUCUACUAAUGAUUAAAUCUCAGUGGUGCAAAGUUCAGUUGCUAAACAUAGGCAUCCAACAUGAAUGAGCAGUCCCAAGAUAUCAGAGAUAUUUAUUUGCACAGGGCAAACAGGCAUAAAACAGAAGAUAUGGAAGAUAUGCAAACUUCUAGAGUAACAUCUGUAAGUUAGUACAAAUAACUCACAGUGCCUUAAAGUCAUAUCAGUUUCAUAUUCAAUGUAAUUGAAUUAAACUGAAUGUUUGAAGAGUCUGUUCUGCUGAAGACUCAGUCCAACCUAUCUGUGAAUAAACAGCAUAAAACAACCAGGGACUUCUCUUUUCCUUCACCUGCUGUCAUAUCAAGUUCUUCUAAUUCACUGAAUGUGAAGUCAAAAUAAGUAAUUAAAAGUAUGUGCAAAAUCAUGUGAUUUAUAUUUGGUCCAAUCGUUCAGUGAAGGAGAAAGAGUGAAGUUUUCCUAAAUAAGACCCCUAUAACCACAUACUUAGAUCCACAUUUUUAAACUGCAGACAUGUACGUUGAUAAUCAGAAUGAUGAAAAAGGAAAUAUAAACAAUGAGUACAUAUUGUUUGGACAAAACCCCAUCCAUUGCUGUAAGACACUGAAACAUAGUAUAUUUUAAUUUUUCACCAUCAAGCACAAGUUCAAAUUUUACUCAUGCCAAUUGGUAUCCCAAACAUGGCAAUGUGUUUUUGGUUUCAAUAGGCUCAUUAGCUUCACUAAGAAUAGCUCAUCUUUAGUGGCACAUGAAUAUAUAAUCUUGCCAAGGCACAGGUGGUAAGCACCCCUGAAUGCUAAGCAAUUUGGCUUUGUAUUCAAACAUUGUAGGAGGCCAAACCAUAGCUCUGAGAAUUGGAAAGAUGCCAGAAAAAGGCCAAAGAUUUCAAGUCUGUUAUUGGACCUUGACAAAUGAGUUUAUAACAAUACAGUGUACACAAUAUAUAUAGGUCUAGAAUAAUAUUUUCCUCUCUUGUUCAUGUGUGUUACACAAAACUUACAGCAAGGGUGAGAAAGGAAUGAUUGCUCCUCAGCUGCUGUUUGCAGUGUAAAUGUUUAGGUCAGAUGAUUAAUUGCAGAAUGACUCCUAAAUUAAAACAUCAUAACUGAAGUUCUUUAUUGUUCAAUAAAAAUGCCUCAAAGAGUCUGGUUUGCCUAAUCCUAAUUUCCCUUCACCUAUGUGUCACUUUCUACUUGGAUUUGUAAGUUGGAGAGCAGUGACAGCCAGCUCUGCUUUCUGUCUGCAAUGUAUGAGUGCACUUCUGCAGGCUGGAACCGUAGAGAAACCCAGCUCCUCUGCUUAGAUGCGUUUCCUCUCCGUGGAGAAAAUGGGGAACAAAGGACACUACUGGGACACAGUGCCUGCGCCCCUGGGACUGUGGAGCAAAUAUUAAGGAAAAGAUCAAAAUUUUGUCAUGAUCAUUGCAAAACUGGCUCAAACAGCAUUUCUUCUGGCAGGUAUCCUUGUCAAACUUAAUUGUUCUGAUAACAUAUAUAUGCAUAUAUAUGUGUGUAUAUACUUAUACAUUUAUAUAUUUAUAUACACACAGAGUAAAAAUCUGUCUUUUCAUAUGUCAUUGCUGAAAGGCAAAAUUGUCCUGAGACAGUGAACAUCAUCCUUGAGAUUCUCUACCUAAACCCUAAGCAUUGAUCCUACAUACUCAUUUUGACUGAACGCAAUGAAUACUAACAUAUGGUAAAUGUCACAUCUAUAUCAAAGAGAAUAGGAAACAGAUAUUUUAAUAUCUUGGAAGCAGUUGAUGCAACUGUAAAAUAUUAUCCCAAGGGACACAGUGUACAAAUAAUGGCACGAACUGUUAAAAUUUGCAGUGAAAAGCUUUCAAAGAACUGACUUGGAAGUAACAGUAAAAAAAUAUCAGGCAACCAUCUUAGGAAUACAGUCUCCUUAGGAUCUUUAUAUAAAGGAGGAGUCUUGAGACAACUAAUCCAUAAUCUCCAUUACCCUUCCAGGCAUUUCUCUCUUUUAUCUAUUGAACAAACCUAGAGCAACUGUACACAGAACUAACUGCUACAUUCGUGCAGUGACAUCUGAAUGCAGUGAUUUUGGCCUUAGGAAACUACAGAACUCAUUUUCACCUCAGAUAUAAAUUCAGUCUUUGAACUGAGUCAAUUAAACAUAUGAUGUUUAACACUUCCAAACAGUGAACUGUGCACUAUGGCUUGCCAACAACAGCUCAAUACUUUACAAGAUAAUAAUAUAUUACAUGAAUACCAAAAAAAGGCAUUUUUAAUAAAAGUUUCCUAGCUCAAGCACAGCUAUUUCCUUAAUUUCUUUCUCUUCUUAAUUUAUGGGCUGUGACAGUAACUAGUUCACAACUUGCUGGUUGAUUUGCUGAGUGUAAAAGCAUAUAGUAAGUCAGAUAAAGCCAUUUCAAAGAUCCAGACUGUGGGGCAGAGCAGGUCUGUGCCAAGUUGUCCAGGAAACCUACAUGAAAGAGGGUUAAGUCAUCAGAAAGUGAUAAGUACAAAGAUUUAUUAAUUUGGCUACGAUUUAUUCAUUUAAACAUUGGGCUCCAAACUUUGAAAUCUGCUACUCUGGAAUUGUUCACGAGGGUAUUAAUAAUUUUCCUGAUUACAAAAGAAGAGAAUUACCAGCUAUCAAAAUGCAUUACUGCAUUAUUUUUAGCUAAUGAAUUUUAGUGAUUAGCAACAGUUCCAAAAGAAUAUAUAUAUAUAUUAGUGUAUAUAUAUCUCUCCUAAAAACAAAAAAAAGUUUAGAACUUCAGUCUACUUUUUUUCAAGCUUUAGUCUCUUGUAAUCUUGCACUCACUACUUCAGAACUCAUCAUAUUUCAAAAUGUAUUUAUUCACUCAGUGAGAUUUCAAAAGCACCUCAUGUACAAGUCCCAUUGAUUUCUGGAAAAAAUUAGAACAUUUUUUAUGAUUUGUAGGAUCAUAGAAUGGUUUGUGUUGGAAGUAGCCUUGAAGACCAGCUAGUUCCAUUCCCCCUGUCAUGGGUAAGACUACUUGCUGCUAGAUAAUGUUGCCCAAAACCCUAUCCAAACUGUCCUUAAACGUCAUCACCCCUUGUCCUGUCACUCCCUGAUAGAGUACCUCCCCAUCUUUCCUGUAGGACCUGUUUAAGUAAUGGAAGGCAGCUAGGUCACCCUGGAGACUUGACUCCUCUUCUCUCCUUUCCUCUCCUCUCCACAACCCCAAAUUUCUCCACUUGUCUUCAGUUCCAGGCCUCUGAUCAUCUCCACAGCCCUCCACUAGACCUGCUCUUACAGAUCUCUCCCUAAUUCUGAGGCCUGUAGUACUACAGGUGGGGUCUCACAAGAGCAGAGCAGAGGAGUAGAAUCACCUCCCAUGAACAGCUAGCUACACAUCUUUUUCUUGUAUACCUUCAAAGUCCC